rnacentral:lncRNA from 1 species
AUUACCCAGGGACACACGGUUGCCUAGAGGAAAGAGGCAAGGAAAUUUUACAGAAGGCUUUGACUCUUAAAAUCCAUGUCCAACCCCAGCCCUUUGGUGUCUGCGAGGUGACUUCACUGCACAGGUCUGGCUGGGAAACCUUCUGGCCCAGUGGCACGGCGCGACUUGGCCUCUGAGAAAAUGGAAAAAUGCUAAGCAGGAGCUUCAGAAACAACUUCCUCCGGCAAACGCAAUCUGUCUGCCUAACCUCUCCAGCCGGGCAGUGAGAUGGCCUAAAGUCACAGGUACCGGGAAACAGUGUGUGCUGCCAAUCAUUUCGCCAGGAGGAACUUGGUUAUCCAGAAGUCGGGGAGCAGGGAAGAGCAG